CAGUAGCCGCGGUAAUACAGAGGGUGCGAGCGUUAAUCGGAUUUACUGGGCGUAAAGCGUGCGUAGGCGGCUUCUUAAGUCGGAUGUGAAAUCCCUGAGCUUAACUUAGGAAUUGCAUUUGAUACUGGGAAGCUAGAGUAUGGGAGAGGAUGGUAGAAUUCCAGGUGUAGCGGUGAAAUGCGUAGAGAUCUGGAGGAAUACCGAUGGCGAAGGCAGCCAUCUGGCCUAAUACUGACGCUGAGGUACGAAAGCAUGGGGAGCAAACAGGAUUAGAUACCCGGGUAGUCCCUGUCUCUUAUAC
rnacentral:rRNA from 1 species